GAUGAAGAACGUAGCGAAAUGCGAUAAGUAGUGUGAAUUGCAGAAUUCAGUGAAUCAUCGAAUCUUUGAACGCACAUUGCGCCCCAUGGUAUUCCGUGGGGCAUGCCUGUUCGAGCGUCAUUUACCCCCUCAAGCUCCGCUUGGUGUUGGGCGUCUGUCCCGCUUCGCGCGCGGACUCGCCCCAAAGGUAUUGGCAGCGGUCGUGCCAGCUUCUCGCGCAGCACAUUGCGCUUCUCGAGGCACCGGCGGGCCCGCGUCCAUCAAGCUCCCCCCCCCCAGUUUGACCUCGGAUCAGGUAGGGAUACCCGCUGAACUUAAGCAUAUCAAUAAGCGGGGA
rnacentral:misc_RNA from 1 species